rnacentral:rRNA from 1 species
GACGAACGCUGACGGCGUGCUUAACACAUGCAAGUCGAAGGGAGUGGCGAACGGGUGAGUAACACGUGAGUAACCUGCCCUUUUCUUUGGGAUAAGCCUGGGAAACUGGGUCUAAUACUGGAUGGAUUGGGAUGGGCUCGCGGCCUAUCAGCUUGUUGGUGGGGUGAUGGCCUACCAAGGCGGUGACGGGUAGCCGGCCUGAGAGGGUGAGCGGCCACAUUGGGACUGAGAUACGGCCCAGACUCCUACGGGAUGCAGCAGUGGUGGAUAUUGCACAAUGGGCGAAAGCCUGAUGCAGCAACGCCGCGUGGAGGAUGACACUUUUCGGAGCGUAAACUCCUUUUGUUAGGGAAGCGGUACCUAACGAAUAAGCACCGGCUAACUCCGUGCCAGCCGCCGCGGUAAUUC